UACAGAGGUCUCAAGCGUUUGUUCGGAUUCAUUUGGGCGUAAAAGGGGUGUGUAGGUGGCGCCGUAAGUCGGGUGUGAAAAUUUUCGGGAGCUUUAACUCCGAAACUGCAUUCGAUACUGCGGUGCUUGAGGACUGGAGAGGAGACUGGAAUUCAUGGUGUAGCAGUGAAAUGCGUAGAGAUCAUGAGGAAGACCAGUGGCGAAGGCGGGGUCUCUGGGACAGUUCCGUGACCACUGAGACACGAAGGCCAGGGGAGCAAACGGG
rnacentral:rRNA from 1 species